rnacentral:rRNA from 1 species
GACGAACGCUGGCGGCGUGCUUAACACAUGCAAGUCGAACGGAAAGGCCCUGCUUUUGUGGGGUGCUCGAGUGGCGAACGGGUGAGUAACACGUGAGUAACCUGCCCUUGACUUUGGGAUAACUUCAGGAAACUGGGGCUAAUACCGGAUAGGAGCUCCUGCUGCAUGGUGGGGGUUGGAAAGUUUCGGCGGUUGGGGAUGGACUCGCGGCUUAUCAGCUUGUUGGUGGGGUAGUGGCUUACCAAGGCUUUGACGGGUAGCCGGCCUGAGAGGGUGACCGGCGACAUUGGGACUGAGAUACGGCCCAGACGCCGACGGGAGGCAGCAGUGGGGAAUAGUGCACAAUGGGCGGAAGCCUGAUGCAGCAACGCCGCGUGCGGGAUGACGGCCUUCGGGUUGUAAACCGCUUUCGCCUGUGACGAAGCGUGAGUGACGGUAAUGGGUAAAGAAGCACCGGCUAACUACGUG